ACCUUUCACAAUUACUUAUCUAAGUUAACCUUUUUUUUUUUCUUAUUGAACAGCCAAAAAAAUUCAACUACAAGUUGGGUGUUAAAACAUAUGAUUGAAAAUACCAAGUAAGAACCCCAAUUUCAAGUAAUUAUGUUCAUUAAAACAGGCUCAUGUACCUCAUAAAUUGAAUUAAUAAUAAGCAAAUGAUAUAAAUUUGAAAAUUUUGAAUAAAGUGAUAUUAAUAAAAUUACCCUUUUAUCUGAUGAAUCCAUGUAUUUUUGCACAGUUGUUGCCUUGUAAGAAAUGGAUGGAAAGUGACUCUGCAGAAAUCCUAAGUGCAAGCAGACAAGGCAAGAACUUCGAGAGGUGAGAGGAAAUAAAAGAAAUGGUUUCACCCCUUGCUCUGAGGUGCUGGUGGGAAGAGAAUGUGAAGCCUCCUGCAGGAACAUGGAAGAUGGGUCCUGCGACAAGGAGGGAGAAAGGCUAUCAGGGUUAUCUCUGUCAACACCAGUGAUUUUAGAGAGAAUGACAAAUAUAGAAGAUGUGGAAGACAAGUACUGGACAUGUCCUGAUCAAGACAAAUAUUGAAAGGUGAUUUUUAAAAUAUAGCUCCCUAGUAGCAGCUUUGUUGAUCUGACUCUUUCUCAUAAAAGCCAGUUACAUUUUUAAUUUCCUACUCAUUAGAAAUUCCAACUAUAUAAAGCCUAUGUCUUAUUACAGAAAACUAAAAAUGCUUAAGCCUGCACUAUUUUAAUUCCAUUUUACUGGUAGGAUUUUGUAAUAAGUUAAAACAAGUAUAAUUAGGAGUUCCCAUUGCAGCUUAGUGGGUUAAGAACCUGAUCUUGUCUCUCUGAGGAUGUGGGUCCAAUUCCUGGUCUCGCUCAGUGGGUUAAGGAUUCGGCAUUUCUGUGAGCUCUCACGUAGGUCACAGCUGCAGCUCAGAUCUGGUGUUGCUGUGGUUGUGGUGUAGGCCAGCAACUGCAGCUCCAAUUCAACCCCCAGCCAGGGAACUUCCAUAUACCACAAGUUUGGCCAUAAAAAGAAAAAAAAAAACAAGCAAAAAACAAGUUUAAUUAAUCAAGCAGUGUCUAUAAAGAUGCCUAAAUUUAAACAGUAUUUGACCAUAGAUAUUUCUCAGGCUAUAACAUAAAAGCUAUACUAUAGCGGAAAGGGGGGGUUAAUGAAACAGCCAAUUUCUUCAAAGAAAAUAUAUCAAAUAGAAAAUAUGAUACAAUAAAGUUAUGUGGCAUCUAGACCAUGUCUAGCUAGAAUUUUUAGUACCCAGGAC
rnacentral:lncRNA from 1 species